rnacentral:ribozyme from 1 species
UAGAAAAAUGUUUUUAUGUAUUUCUCUUAUUUUUCUCCAUUUUUGUUUGUUUUUUGUUUUUACUU